UUUGAUCGAGCCGAGCUGGAGCGGCCGAUCCGCCGGCCGUUGCCGGCCGUAGGUGGCGAGCAGCGCCUGAGCCUC
rnacentral:antisense_RNA from 1 species